AAAUGGGAACAGGGAAUGGCAGUGAGGAAAUGGGAAUCAUGUUUGGCUAAGGGCAGGAAUGGGAACAGGGACGCAGGUGUAAGGCUCUGUGGUGUCAGAGCUGGGAAGGGGGACACUAAGGAAGGAAACUGGAAUCAUGCUUGCUGGAAGUUCACCCCAAUAAACAUCGAAUUGUUUGCACCUUUGGACUUCGGGUAUUGUUGCUCUCUGUUCAUGCGAGAAGGACCAGGGAAGUAAGUGGGUGAAGGAAUAAGUCCUCUAAACAAAGCAUAUUAGUUCCACAACAAAACAAAACAAAAAAAUCAAUCACAUUUUAAACCUUUGAGAGAGAAGACAGGCAACACAGACCAGAACUAACCUUCUCCCUUAACUAAAUUUGCAGGAGAAUCAGACAUCUAAGAAUGGCUACUCAGUUAGGACAAUGGAAAUUAUGUCAAACAGAUCACAGGAGCUAGUUAUGUUUUCUUUUAAAAACCUGCCCCUCUGUGCUGUAAGCACAAGAAAUGAAAAAAGUACUUUCUGCUCUCUUAGGCUUAAGAAAAUCCAUUGUGUUCUGUUUCGGUUACAUCUCAUGUUGCUCAGAAUUGGAAAGAUAAGGGGUUUUUUUUUUAUUUUUUUUUAUUUUACCAUCCUUUCAAAUGAAUUCGGGGUAUGUGUUGCUUUAUCCAGUAGUUCGCUGUAUUCCAGUUCUUCACAAAGUCGCUGAAGAGUGUUAAGUGGCUCGUUUAACUCAACAGGCAUGGCCACCUUGGAGAGAUCCUUCCCUAUAUUGUUUCUCAGGAUAUUCCAUAGGCUGAUGUUACUGGUAUUAGGACAUGGAGCCGGCAAACAUGUUCUCCGCUUGGAAUGGCUUCCCAUCCCACUUUCAGCAAUGCAAUCUGGAAGGAAAUGCCAGGAGCACAUUAAGCAAUUCAUUGUUUUCUUACAGUAUCAUCUCUUUUGAAAACACUAUGGAUGUUUUAAAGCAUCAGCAAUUUCCUUAUCCUUCAGACAAACCUUCGCUCCCCAGGUGACUCAAAUAUUGACUUCUGGUUUGAAGAUAUCUGCUGUACACUGAUAAUUUAAAACAAGAUUUUAAACCAAGCAAGUUUUAUGGAGAUAGAUAUGAAGCAUAAAUGCUUGAAAAGAAUCUCUUGAAAUGCUCUGUAAAAGUCUAAAAGAGUAGGUCUACACUGCAAUAAAACUCUUGCAGCUGGCCCGUGUCAGCUGAUUGGGUCAUGGGGCUCGGCCUGCAGGGCUAUAAAAUUACAAUGUAGACAGUUCGGCUCAGGCUGGAACCCAGACUAUGGGACCCCAGGAGAAGGGAGAAUCCCUGAGCCUGAAUGUCUACCCUGCAAUUUUAUAGCCCCGCAACCCAAGCCCUGCAAGUCCGAGUCACUUGGUAUAGCUCAGCCACGGGUGUUUUAGUGCAGUGUAGACAUAUCCACAGGCUCUUAGAAGUUACACCUCUAAAGAGCACAUAUUUUAUCUUGUUUUACAAGAGACUGAUUCAUGUACAUUUAAGUAACAUAAAAACGCCUUCCUGACAGAUCUUCAAUUAAGCUGACAUUCUUUUUAGAAGACAAAAGUGUGCUUUACAGAACUCAAAUGUGAAAACACCUCCUCCUUCAACUCUUUCUACUGAAUUGAUGGACUCCUCAUAUCAGGAAAAAUCUGUUGCUGUAGCCAAACACCAGAUAUUUGUUGGCAGGCUUUUCCAUGGUGCAUAUCUGAGUACCCAAAUACCUCACAAACAUUACUGAAUUUAGCUUCAUGACACACCUAUGUGCUGGAAAAGGUCACAGGAAGACUACGAGUUUACUUGACAUUCAAAGGGUAACUCACACAUCCAAGAGACUGGCUGAGCUCUGUGUUGGGGUGUCAGAGCAAUCUGGGCAUGAUAAAUAGUUCCAAGUUUUAUAGUAAAUGACUUGAGAUAGAUUUAAAAUAAAAGCCACACCACAGAGAUAAGCCUUAGCCCAGACAGCGUGUCACAAAAUGGCCUGAGUAGAAUACUUGGAUUAGCUAUAUGUUCCCCUAUUUGUCUAAACCAUCAGGUAUAUUCUCUCUCAUCCCUCCCACUAUCUCACCAUCUUAUUUUCAAUCACCCUGAACAGCAUCUAUUUGUUUCUACAGCGCCCAUCUCUGAUCCUGGUACAUUUGGGUGCUGCCCAAAAUCAUUUCCUCCUUUUCCAUGUUGUCUUCCCCACAUGAGUCUUCAAGGCCAUGUCCCACUCAGAGGGAUGGAUAUGACUGCUUCCAUAGUCUGUCUACACUUUCCUGCAAAGCAUUGCCCAUGAAGAUACAGUCUGUCCAUUUUUAAAAAGUUUCCCACUUUGUACUAACACCAGUAAAACUCCACUGGUGCCCGCAAUAGUGAGAUGGUGGUAAAAAUAUAGUGGCCAUCUACAUUACAUUGUCUAACUCUGCUAAGACCAUGCCAAAAUGACACUGAAGAAAAGUGGCACCUGGCCGGACUACACUAUUGCUGCCAACUUUGUCAUCACUGUUUUAAGGGCAUCAAUGAAUUUCCAGAAAGUUGCCAAUGCACACAAAGUUACAGCGCUGCCCAGAGCGCUCUGCCUCUGCGGUUCUCCCAGACACUGAUUACCCUAGAAUGAAGGACUAAGAGUUUGAAAUCUCAUCCCUGCAUGGUAGCUAUGACAAACAACACAGAAUAGGUGAAUUAUAAUUUGUUGCACAUUAUUUUCCUGCCUAAAUGCAAUCUGUCAUAAUGCUAGUUUGCAUAAAAGACUGCAAACAUCCUAAACUUGAGAGCCCACCAGGGGUAAGAAAAUAAUUAACAUACUUGUCUGACUUCCCUUUCAGAAAGGAGUUGACUCAGACCUUCCCAUGGGGGAGGAAGACAAUUAACAUC